rnacentral:rRNA from 1 species
GUUAUAUGACCAAGUAACCAAGCGCACAUGGUGGAUGCCUUGGCGACAGAAGGCGAUGAAGGACGUAAAAGCCUGCGAUAAGCUUCGGUGAGUCGGCAAAUAGACUUUGACCCGGAGAUUUCCGAAUGGGGAAACCCACCUGCUAAGGCAGGUAUUCCGUGGUGAAUACAUAGCCGCGGAAGGCAAACCCGGGGAACUGAAACAUCUAAGUACCCGGAGGAAAAGAAAUCAAUUGAGAUUCCCUGAGUAGCGGCGAGCGAAACGGGACUAGCCCUUAAGCCCAUCAAGUCUUAGUGGAAGUGCUCAGGAAUGACACGCCAUAGAGGGUGAAAGCCCCGUACACGAAAAGACUUGUUAGGUGAAAUCGAGUAGGACGGAGCACGUGUAACUCUGUUCGAACAUGGGGGGACCAUCCUCCAAGGCUAAAUACUCUCUGUCGACCGAUAGUGAACCAGUACCGUGAGGGAAAGGCGAAAAGAACCCCGGUGAGGGGAGUGAAAUAGAACCUGAAACCGUGUGCGUACAAGCAGUCAGAGCCUGUCUUAGGACGGGUGAUGGCGUACCUUUUGUAUAAUGGGUCAGCGACUUACUUCUCAGUAGCAAGCUUAACCGUAUAGGGGAAGCGCAGGGAAACCGAGUCCGAACAGGGCGAUCAGUUGCUGGGAGUAGACCCGAAACCGGGCGAUCUAUCCAUGGCCAGGGUGAAGGUCGGGUAACACCGACUGGAGGCCCGAACUCACUAAUGUUGAAAAAUUAGGAGAUGAGCUGUGGAUAGGAGUGAAAGGCUAAUCAAGCCCGGAGAUAGCUGGUUCUCCUCGAAAGCUAUUUAGGUAGCGCCUCGUGUAUCACUGCCGGGGGUAGAGCACUGUUUCGACUAGGGGGUCCAUAAGGAUUUACCAAAUCGAGGCAAACUCCGAAUACCGGCAAGUGCAAUCACGGGAGACACACUGCGAGAGCUAACUUCCGUAGUGGAAAGGGAAACAACCCAGACCGCCAGCUAAGGUCCCCAAGUCAUGGCUAAGUGGCAAACGAUGUGGGAAGGCAGAGACAGUCAGGAGGUUGGCUUAGAAGCAGCCAUCCUUUAAAGAAAGCGUAAUAGCUCACUGAUCUAGUCGGCCCGCGCGGAAGAUAUAACGGGGCUAAAGCCAUGCACCGAAGCUGCGGACUUGUAAUUUAUUGCAAGUGGUAGAGGAGCGUUCCGUAGGCCGUGAAGGUGUGCCGUGAGGCAUGCUGGAGGUAUCGGAAGUGCGAAUGCUGACGUGAGUAACGAUAAGGAAGGUGAAAAACCUUCCCGCCGAAAAUCCAAGGGUUCCUGCGCAACGCUAUUCGGCGCAGGGUGAGUCGGCUCCUAAGGCGAGGCCGAAAGGCGUAGUCGAUGGGAAACGGGUUAAUAUUCCCGUACCUCGCACAACUGCGAUGGGGUGACGAAGAAAGUUAGGUCGGCCGGGCGAUGGUUGUCCCGGUUUAAGCAUGUAGGCAGGGUCUCUAGGCAAAUCCGGAGGCUCAAUGCCGAGAUGCGAUGACGAGCUCUCAAGAGAGCGAAGUGACCGAUACUCUGCUUCCAGGAAAAACCUCUAAGCUUCAGGUUGUGCGGACCGUACCCCAAACCAACACAGGUGGAUAAGGUGAGAAUCCUAAGGCGUAUGAGACAACUCGGGUGAAGGAACUCGGCAAAAUGGCACCGUAACUUCGGGAGAAGGUGCGCCCCCAGUAGGUGAAGCCCCUCGCGGGCCGAGCUGGACGGGGCCGCAGAGACCAGGUGGCUGCGACUGUUUACUAAAAACACAGCACUCUGCUAACACGUAAGUGGAUGUAUAGGGUGUGACGCCUGCCCGGUGCCGGAAGGUUAAGUGAUGGGGUUAGUCUUCGGACGAAGCUCUUGAUCGAAGCCCCGGUAAACGGCGGCCGUAACUAUAACGGUCCUAAGGUAGCGAAAUUCCUUGUCGGGUAAGUUCCGACCUGCACGAAUGGCGUAACGAUGGCCACACUGUCUCCACCCGAGACUCAGUGAAAUCGAAAUUGCUGUGAAGAUGCAGUGUUCCUGCGGCAAGACGGAAAGACCCCGUGCACCUUUACUAUAGCUUUACACUGGAUUUUGAACAUUUUUGUGUAGGAUAGGCGGGAGGCUUUGAAACGUUGGCGCUAGCCAGCGUGGAGCCACCCUUGAAAUACCGCCCUGAAAUGUUUGAGGUUCUAACCUAGGCCCAUUAUCUGGGCCAGGGACAGUGUAUGGUGGGUAGUUUGACUGGGGCGGUCUCCUCCCAAAGAGUAACGGAGGAGUGCAAAGGUACCCUCAGCGCGGUCGGAAAUCGCGCAACGAGUGCAAAGGCAAAAGGGUGCUUGACUGUGAGACCGACGGGUCGAGCAGGUACGAAAGUAGGUCUUAGUGAUCCGGUGGUUCUGUAUGGAAGGGCCAUCGCUCAACGGAUAAAAGGUACGCCGGGGAUAACAGGCUGAUUCCUCCCAAGAGUCCACAUCGACGGAGGAGUUUGGCACCUCGAUGUCGGCUCAUCACAUCCUGGGGCUGAAGCAGGUCCCAAGGGUAUGGCUGUUCGCCAUUUAAAGUGGUACGCGAGCUGGGUUUAGAACGUCGUGAGACAGUUCGGUCCCUAUCUGCCGUAGGCGUUCGAGAUUUGAGAGGAUCUGUCCUUAGUACGAGAGGACCGGGAUGGACGCACCUCUGGUGUUCCGGUUGUCACGCCAGUGGCACUGCCGGGUAGCUACGUGCGGAAGGGAUAAGCGCUGAAAGCAUCUAAGCGCGAAGCCCACCUCAAGAUGAGAUCUCGCUAGCCCCUUGAGGGCUCUUAAGGGUCGUCCAAGACGAGGACGUUGAUAGGCCAGAUGUGUAAGCACGGCAACGUGUUCAGCUUACUGGUACUAAUUGCCCGUGAGACUUGGUCAUAUAACGCUCAAGC